CAUAACCCACCCUGUCCAAUCGAGUGUGUCCAUGGACGAUGUGGGACCGGCGUGAUUGGACGACGCACGUUCGAAUUGUUUAUGGCGCGUCAAUACUUUCGCGAUCGGUCGUGUUCGCCGCGAAACGCCGACCGACGAGUGAAACGUUAGGGGCGCUGUACGUUGACAGGUGGAGACGAUCGCGUCUCUUUUUUUUCGGGUGUCACUUGUCAACUGAAGCGAGAAGGUGGGGGUUACGUAACCUAGGUAGUGGAAAUGAUGAUGAUGGUGUGAUGGUUAUUUUUUUUGGGUUGGUUGGAAAAGCUGGGAAGGCGGAAUGCCAUUAAGACACCGUGUCAUCUGAUACCGCAGCACCUACGAGGGGUCAAAGGGCAUGCCACAUGCCGUUUCUCUUGGAAGGACUCCGAGAUACCAAGCGACGAGCUGCCGGGCUUCACUCAUAUUUUUUAAUAAUAUGCAGAACCGUACCAAAAAUUUUAUGUUUUUAUCAAAAAUACUAUUGUUAUCGUUUUAGGUGAUGCACCCAAAAUUUUUUUAUUAACAAAUAAUAAAUUUUAAAAAAAUUAAGAAGUA